rnacentral:rRNA from 1 species
AUUGAAUGCUGGCGGCAUGCUUUACACAUGCAAGUCGAACGGCAGCGCGGGCUUCGGCCUGGCGGCGAGUGGCGAACGGGUGAGUAAUACAUCGGAACGUGCCCAGUAGUGGGGGAUAGCUCGGCGAAAGCCGGAUUAAUACCGCAUACGACCUGAGGGUGAAAGUGGGGGAUCUUCGGACCUCGCGCUAUUGGAGCGGCCGAUGGCAGAUUAGCUAGUUGGUGGGGUAAAGGCCUACCAAGGCGACGAUCUGUAGCUGGUCUGAGAGGACGACCAGCCACACUGGGACUGAGACACGGCCCAGACUCCUACGGGAGGCAGCAGUGGGGAAUUUUGGACAAUGGGCGAAAGCCUGAUCCAGCAAUGCCGCGUGUGUGAUGAAGGCCUUCGGGUUGUAAAGCACUUUUGGCGGGAACGAAAAGGACUGUGCCAAUACCACGGUUCGAUGACGGUACCCGCAGAAUAAGCACCGGCUAACUACGUG